UACGGAGGGUGCAAGCGUUAUCCGGAUUUACUGGGUUUAAAGGGUGCGUAGGCUGUUUAGUAAGUCUGUUGUGAAAGACGCCGGCUUAACCGGACGAACUGCACUGGAUACUGCUAGACUUGAAUCAGGUUUAGGUGGGCGGAAUGCGACAUGUAGCGGUGAAAUGCUCAGAUAUGUCGUGGAACACCGAUUGCGAAGGCAGCUCACUGGGCCUUGAUUGACGCUGAGGCACGAAAGCGUGGGGAGCAAACAGG
rnacentral:rRNA from 1 species